rnacentral:rRNA from 1 species
CCUACGGGAGGCAGCAGUGAGGAAUAUUGGUCAAUGGACGAGAGUCUGAACCAGCCAAGUCGCGUGAAGGAUGACUGCCCUAUGGGUUGUAAACUUCUUUUAUAAAGGAAUAAAACGAGGCACGUGUGCCUUUUUGCAUGUACUUUAUGAAUAAGGAUCGGCUAACUCCGUGCCAGCAGCCGCGGUAAUACGGAGGAUCCGAGCGUUAUCCGGAUUUAUUGGGUUUAACGGGAGCGUAGAUGGGUUGAUAAGUCAGUUGUGAAAGUUUGCGGCUCAACCGGAAAAUUGCAAUUGAUACUGGCAGUCUUGAGUACAGAUGAGGUAAGCGGAAUUCGUGGUGUAGCGGUGAAAUGCUUAGAUAUCACGAAGAACCCCGAUUGCGAAGGCAGCUUACUAAACUGUGACUGACAUUGAUGCUCGAAAGUGUGGGUAGCAAACAGGAUUAGAUACCCUAGUAGUC